rnacentral:rRNA from 1 species
UACGAUCUGUGGAUGAAAGCAGGGGAUCUUCGGACCUUGUGCUAUUGGAAUGGCCGAUAUCUGAUUAGCUAGUUGGUAGGGUAAAAGCCUACCAAGGCGACGAUCAGUAGCUGGUCUGAGAGGACGACCAGCCACACUGGAACUGAGACACGGUCCAGACUCCUACGGGAGGCAGCAGUGGGGAAUUUUGGACAAUGGGGGCAACCCUGAUCCAGCAAAGCCGCGUGAGUGAAGAAGGCCCUCGGGUUGUAAAGC